CACCCCUAGUUUCAGCACCUAUGCCGGAGAGGCAGGCUGAGCAGUAACUCCUCUUGCUGACUGCACAGGGCCAUGCAACAGUUGGAGGCUUGUACUACACUCUGCUAAGGAGGUUCAGGGCAAGCAGCCUGCUGUCCCUAGCGAUGGGGAGACACGAACCAGAUCGGGAUCUGUUUGUCGUGCUGGAGCCUAGUAGGAGCCAUGCUCUCAGGUGAAGUCUCUGUAGGUUUUGAAGGUAAAUCUAUCCGGCAUCUUGCAAGAGAAGAUUCAGCAAGAGUGGAAGAGUACACGGUGCACAUACAGUCAUCCUCAACAGAAACAUAAGAUAGUCUGAGAUAUGGCAAAUCAGAGCUUGACCUGGGAGGAUGCCUAUUUGUAUGGAUCAGAUAGAGAAUCUCUUCCAUUUAAUAAGAUCCAUCUAGGAAGUUCCCUACUGCUGGAAAAUGGACCUAGACACAUCCAGUCAAAGAGAUCUCUCCCGGUGACCUGUGAAUGAACUCCCUCACAAAUAUUCAUAAGUUCUGUCCACCAGUCCCGGAAGGACAAAACCUGAGCUGGUACUUGAACCAUCUUGUCCACGUGAUGAUGGGCCAGUAGUACACCGAGGCUAUCCAAUGCUCUAGAUCUCUGAGGGGUAGAAAGACAUGCUGCACCACAUAAAUCAGUGGUUCCCAAACUGUGAUGUGCACCCACCCCCGGGCAGGGCUGGAGCAGCCCCCACAGGGGUGGGGAGGGUAGUACCACACUUCCAGCCCUGCUCUGCCCCCAGACCAGCUCUGCUUCUAGGCCCAGCUCUGCCCUCAUUCCCUCCGGACCCACAGACCAGCUCCGACCCAAGCCACAGCUCCAUUCCUCCCACCGGGCUCUCCUCUCAUUCCCUCUCUGCCCCCAGACCAGUUCCACGCCCCAGCUGCAGCUCCACUCUGCUCCCUUCUCUGCCCCCAUUCCCUCCCCACCCCCAGACCCGCUCUGACCCCUGCUGGGCUCUGCCCUCAUUCUCUCUCUGCCCCCAGACCAGCUCUGAACCCAGCUGCAGCUCUAUUCCAGUCCCUGCUUCACCCCCAGGCUGGCUCCGCCCCCAGCUGCAGCUCCACUCCACCCUCUGCUCUGCCUGUAGCCCAGCUCUGCCUUCAUUUCCUGUCUGCCCCAGACCAGCUCCGGCUCUAGCCACAGCUCCUCCCACAUCCCCAAUUCUGCCCCAGCUCUACCUUCUGGGAUAUUGUUUUCUUUUGGGGAAAGACAGGGAGUGUUUAAAAAUCAGUCAUAACAAGAAACUAGCUUCAACCUUUACUGUGGAGUCCCUAUUGCCACAUCAAAAGAUGAGUCAAGAAAGCAGUUCUGCUGAGUAAGGAGUAAUUAUGUUUUUUACAUAGUCACUUUUCUGGCCAUACAUUUAAAAAGAAAGUAUUAAAGUGCAUAGGAAAUAGCCACAAUCUUGUCUAAGGGCAGGUGCCCAUUGGAAUAGCCACAUUUAAAAUGUUACAGUAGUAUAAGUAGAUCAGCUAAUCCAUAUUCAGACAAUCUUCUCCCCAAAAGGCUUCAUGAAGAACUAUGCACAUGCCAAAUUAAGAUAGCCUUUUUUACAACAGAAAAAUAUAAAAAGGUGCAAGUUUAUUUACUGCUUUGUUCAAGCAAAAACUGGCUUUGCCAAUUUAAAUUAAGUUUGACAGAAACAACUGCAAAAGUACAAUAUAACAAUAAAAAGAAAAAUCACAUGAACAGCAACUCCAGAAAACCUUCACUGCUGCUAUUUAUUCUCUGUUCUGUUUAUUUUGCCAUUUUCUCUGGAUCUGAUUGUCCUGCACCUGGGAGCAGAAGAGCUGAGAGAAAGGUAAACUUGAGAAGCACAUUGCUCAGCAGCCAAGUUGUGGGGCAACUCUGACAACGAAGAAGAUUGUUGCUUUCUUUGUGUUCUAUCUAUAAUUGCAGGGGGAUAUAUUUCAUCUGUUGUGAACAUAUUUGUUCUUCCUCACACCUCAAAAGAAAAAACACUGGGCGUGUCGGUUGCUAACCAUUCCCAUAUGAGAAGGCAGAGGUAGGAAACCUCAGACUAAUUUCAGGACCAAUCUGAUCUUACUGAAAUCAGUGGCAAAAUUGUUUCAUGGAGUUCAGUGGGAGUUAAGAUCAGACCUCAAACCACAGAGAGCCAAGGUGGAAGCAAAUUACCAUAUGGUAGAAAGGAAGACCAGCUAGCAAUGGAGGUCUUUAGAUUGGAACAUUAUAUAUCAUAACUUUAUUUUCAAUUUUUCUAUUUGACUAUUUAUAAAUAAGUGUAUACAUUCACAGACUUCUACUUUUUUACCUUCUGAAAGACACAACUGUAUUAAAAAAGCCUUACUGACAUUGACUUAAUGUGUCAGCUAAGGAUACAUGUUUUUAAACCCAAUCCAACCCAAAUUACAUGUGCCAAGACAUAAGAAAAAAAAAUAUUUUCCUCAACUCAUCCAGAUAGUAAUUUUUUCUCCUUUUGAAAAAUGUCCCAAACUCAAAACCCUUCUUGAACUUUCUGGUGCAGGAAUCCUUUUCCACAUGUUCAGGCAAUCACACUUCUUGCCACCACCAGAGUUACUAAUUCAUUCACUUCCCUUUUAUACAAUGCCUCUGCUGGGGAUCAACUAGAAGUUGUAGAGGUUCAUAUAAAAGUAUUUGUUUAAUAUAUAAGAAUAUACUUUCCCCAAAUGCCCUACUUCUUGAGUAAUUAAAGUAGUUGUGAAUUAAAGAUUUCACUUCCUCAGAUCCUCCAGUAUGGAUCAAUGAGACAAUGUAUGUAAUUCCUUAAGCCCUUGGGGUGCUAGAUAUCAAGUAUAUAUUUUUGUUAAACAGCUUUAUUCAUAUUGAGAUAGCUUCCCUUUCCAUAUCAUGUUAUUAAUCCUCAUUUAAACCCUUAUUUAAAAGCCUUCCCCAUGCAUUCAUGAAUGCUUUCUUAAAAAAACAUCUUUUAAGGCUUGAAAAAUCUGAUUUCUGAACUAAACAUAUUUCUAUUUCUGUAGCCUUAAGAAGAGGCACCUUACCUGGAGUGGCCCUGUUUGCUGCUGCAGGCCUUGCUGCUAUGUAACACUCUAUAGUUUGUACUCAGAAGGAAGGGUGCAUUAAUAUUGGGCUGGACUAGUUGGUGAGAUGUAGACAUCCUAGUUCUGGUAUCAGAAUUCUGCUACCAAAGUAAUCUCUAGACUGUGGGCAUUUUAUCUGGUGAAAAGCUGAAGCUAAAAGAAGCUGGCUGAGCACAGGCAGAAUUUGAACUGUCUCUAGAACAGUGGUCUCCAACCUUUUUAAGCACAAGAUCACUUUUCGAAUUUAAGUGCAAUCCAGGAUCUACCCUUCCCCGAGGCCUAACCCCGCUCACUCCAU